GACGUAGGGUGCAAGCGUUGUCCGGAUUUAUUGGGCGUAAAGAGCUCGUAGGCGGCUUGUUGCGUCGACUGUGAAAACCCGCGGCUUAACCGCGGGCUUGCAGUUGAUACGGGCAGGCUAGAGUUCGGUAGGGGAGACUGGAAUUCCUGGUGUAGCGGUGAAAUGCGCAGAUAUCAGGAGGAACACCGGUGGCGAAGGCGGGUCUCUGGGCCGAUACUGACGCUGAGGCACGAAAGCUAGGGGAGCAAACAGG
rnacentral:rRNA from 1 species